UCUCUCUCACUCUCUGUACCCAUUCUUUCUUUCUCUCCUCUCUCGAUGGAUCUCGGAUCUUGCAAGCUGUAUCGUUAAGGAGAGCUCCACCACGGACAGCCAUUGUCAUGGUACAGAGGAGAAACUGUUAAUCCCACCUGAUGUUGACGUACAAUGGUGAACGCUUCUGGAAGCCCAUUUGUGGAAAGCCUGUCAAUGGUCUGUGGUAGCUUAGGUGGAGGCAUGAAGGGAUUAUUCGGCAAGGUAUCUCUCUGCAGAAUAAGUUGGCUCCUAUAUACAGUGUUGUGUCAAGGGUUUAAGGGGCUUAAGAUUGGGAACCGAUCAAGUGAGUUUCAUCCUGAAGUCAGAAGAGUAAGGAGAGUGUUCCUUUAUAUAUGAGGAGUUAAUGCCCACCGUAGGAACUGAUGUCAAGGUGUACACAGUGGGUCCUGAAUACGCACAUGCUGAAGCAAGAAAGUCGCCUGUUGUUGAUGGUGUUGUUAUGAGGAAUACUGAUGGCAAGGAAGUGAGAUAUCCAGUGUUGCUUACACCUGCAGAAAAGCAAAUGGCUAGACAACUUUGCAUUGCAUUUAGGCAAGCUGUGUGUGGGUUUGAUCUUCUACGAUAUGAGGGAUGUUCAUAUGUUUUGUGAUGUAAAUGGAUGGAGUCUUGUCAAGAACUCUUACAAGGUGGACAUUUCUCUGGAAUAUACAGGAAGGUUCAGUUGAAGCCGCUAAAGUGGGGUGAUGAAGGAGAAGAAUAAAGAUCCGUAAAGGCCCUUAUGAAAACAGGUCGAAGACUUGCCCUUAUGAAAAACAGGUAGUAGAAGUUUAAUAUUGUUUAGUGUAAAACCUAAUAAAACAUAUUGUCAACUAAUUGAUAUUUAGGAAUAAUAUGCUUGUCUUGUUUAUAUGUUCAGCUUUCUAAUUACUGAUGUUUGCAUCAUCUGCA